AAUUUUCAAUAAAAACUGAAAUGUAUUCUUCCUGUUCCUGGGUCGAUGCCCGAGCGGUUAAUGGGGACGGACU
rnacentral:tRNA from 1 species